CCCACCCCCUCACGCUCGCUUGGUGCCGCGGCCGCCAUCAUCCCCGUCGCCAGGACCGCCGCCGCAGCAGCAGCGCUCGCCUUCCCGCCACUUCCCCGCGCGCUCCCAACUGGGGGGCGGGAAGGGAGGGGGGAGGAGGAAGGAGGAGAGGCGGUUCCAGGAGAGGACGGCGAAAGAGGCAGUGGUUCGCUGAACAAAACAAAAAGAAGGCGUGGGCUGGUCCUGAAGAGCAACGCGGCUUUUGUGCGCAGGGGUAAGUUGAUCUUUCCACAUAAUGGCAAACAACAACUCAUAAAGUGUUUGGCUCAGAUAGGAACAAGUUACAGGUCUGUCAACAAACAGUAAGUAUAUGAGUUGUUCCUAGAGAAGCUGAAAAAGUUUUGGGUGUGUGUUUGUAUUUACAGGGAGAGUUUUUUAAAAACUUUAGGUUUAUGGAAGUCAUGUUAAGGGGGAAUAAUGUAGCCUAAACAUUUUUGAUUGAGUACAUAACAAAACUACGUGUGAUGAAGCUUGUGUUUUGCAUCACACUCCCAACAGUUUCAAGGCUUUGUUGUCCCGAAGACUUGUUUGAA